GCAUGAGUCGUAAAUAUUAAAUAGGAAGUGGUAGUCAAAUAAAUGGAAUUCGUCGAUAUUAGAUAAGAAGCAAAUCUUUGAUACACCGCGUUGUACGACUUUCAUAAAAUAGAGCAACAGUUGCUACAAACGAUAUUUGUGAAAUUGUGUUUUAUGAAAGGUGUGUCAUGGUCUUGCACGAAAUAAUUUUUAAAUCACAUUUGGACAGGAAAUUUUGAUGCUAAAAAUCGGUCAUGCUCGUCUUAAGCAGGCGCAGGCAGAAUUCGUUAUUUGUUAGAUGAAACAAAAAGUUUCAUUUAGUUUGAAGAUGUGUUUAUUUAAGUAUAAUAAAUUAAAUGAAGUUAUUUAUGUACGUUAAAUGAAGUAAAUAUAUUAAAUGAAGUACCAUUGAAUUAAAUGUACACGUUUAUGCACGUUAAAUGAAACGUGCAUAUUUAUGUAAGUAUUAUAGUGUAUA
rnacentral:misc_RNA from 1 species